CACGUAGGGGGCGAGCGUUGUCCGGAAUCAUUGGGCGUAAAGAGCUCGUAGGCGGCUCGGUAAGUCGGGUGUGAAACCCCCAGGCUCAACCUGGGGACGCCACCCGAUACUGCUGUGGCUAGAGUCCAGUAGGGGAGUGUGGAAUUCCCGGUGUAGCGGUGAAAUGCGCAGAUAUCGGGAGGAACACCAGCGGCGAAGGCGGCACUCAUGGGCUGGAACUGACGCUGAGGAGCGAAAGCGUGGGUAGCAAACAGG
rnacentral:rRNA from 1 species